GUCAAGCCUUUUCGAUAUACGGGCAUUAAAAGUAAUUCAAACUGUAAUAAAUCUAUAUCCAGAAUAAAAGUAUGUUGUUUGCGUGUCAGUAAAUUGUUUCCGAAGGAAGUAAAAGCUAACUGUCAGGCGAGAAAUAUGGAAUGAAAGAUGGUCCAGAAUCAACACUUAAUUAAUAAUUUUUGUCGUUUAGCUGGAGCGGGAAAAAUAAGUUAGUAAUUCACGACUAAUAAUGCUAUUUGUCAGGUCGAAUUAGAAGUGUUCAUGACAUGUGACAUAGAUGGAUUAAAAGAUAACCCAAUUUGUUAUUUCCAAUCAAAGCAACCAUUUAUAUCCGUUUAUUUUGAGAGAAUGUGGCGGGAGAGAAAAAAGGAAUCGGAUCUACUGAUAUAUUUCCGAACACAGAGACAAUAAUUUGAUUAAUAAAAUAUCGUCGCUUGUGAAGACAGUUAUGGUUUCAAAUAAAACUGUAAUUUGUUAUUGA
rnacentral:lncRNA from 1 species